rnacentral:rRNA from 1 species
AGUGAACGCUGGCGGUAGGCCUAACACAUGCAAGUCGAACGGCAGCACAGUAAGAGCCUGCUCUAACGGGUGGCGAGUGGCGACGGGGGGGGGAAACAAUCGAAUUUACUUUUUUCGGGGGGGUUAAGGAAGGGAAACUAACCUUAUACCCCAUACGACCCUACGGGGGAAAGAAGGGAAUCUUCGCCCCUUGGCGGUUGAAUUAAGCGAUGUCGGAUUAGCUAGUUGGCGGGGUAAAGGCCCACCAAGGCGACGAUCCGUAGCUGGUCUGAGAGGAUGAUCAGCCACACUGGAACUGAGACACGGUCCAGACUCCUACGGGAGGCAGCAGUGGGGAAUAUUGGACAAUGGGCGCAAGCCUGAUCCAGCCAUACCGCGUGGGUGAAGAAGGCCUUCGGGUUGUAAAGCCCUUUUGUUGGGAAAGAAAAGCAGCAGGUUAAUACCCCGCUGUUCUGACGGUACCCAAAGAAUAAGCACCGGCUAACUUCGUG